rnacentral:rRNA from 1 species
CCUACGGGAGGCAGCAGUGAGGAAUAUUGGUCAAUGGGCGCGAGCCUGAACCAGCCAAGUCGCGUGAGGGAUGAAGGUUCUAUGGAUCGUAAACUUCUUUUAUAAGGGCAUAAAGUGUGGGACGUGUCCUAUUUUGUAUGUACCUUAUGAAUAAGGAUCGGCUAACUCCGUGCCAGCAGCCGCGGUAAUACGGAGGAUCCGAGCGUUAUCCGGAUUUAUUGGGUGUAAAGGGUGCGUAGGUGGCCUUUUAAGUCAGCGGGGAAAGUCUGUGGCUCAACCGUAGAAUUGCAGUUGAAACUGGCAGUCUUGAGUAUAUUAGAGGUGGGCGGAAUGCGUGGUGUAGCGGUGAAAUGCUUAGAUAUCACGCAGAACCCCGAUUGCGAAGGCAGUCUACUGGGCCAUAACUGACGCUGAUGCACGAAAGCGUGGGGAUCAAACAGGAUUAGAUACCCUAGUAGUC